rnacentral:rRNA from 1 species
UACGAAGGGGGCUAGCGUUGCUCGGAAUCACUGGGCGUAAAGGGUGCGUAGGCGGGGCUUUAAGUCAGGGGUGAAAUCCUGGAGCUCAACUCCAGAACUGCCUUUGAUACUGAAGAUCUUGAGUUCGGGAGAGGUGAGUGGAAUUCCUAGUGUAGAGGUGAAAUUCGUAGAUAUUAGGAAGAACACCAGUGGCGAAGGCGGCGCACUGGCCCGGUACUGACGCUGAGGCGCGAAAGCGUGGGGAGCAAACAGG